rnacentral:rRNA from 1 species
CUCCGGUUGAUCCUGCCGGACCCGACUGCUAUCAGAGUGGGACUAAGCCAUGCGAGUCGACGUAGCAAUGCGUGGCGAACGGCUCAGUAACACGUAGUCAACAUGCCCAGGGGACGUGGAUAACCUCGGGAAACUGAGAAUAAACCACGAUAGGUCACGAUUUCUGGAAUGGAUCAUGGCCUAAAUCUACAUGGCCCCUGGAUUGGACUGCGGCCGAUCAGGCUGUUGGUGAGGUAAUGGCCCACCAAACCUAUAACCGGUACGGGCUCUGAGAGGAGAAGCCCGGAGAUGGGCACUGAGACAAGGGCCCAGGCCCUAUGGGGCGCAGCAGGCGCGAAACCUCUGCAAUAGGCGAAAGCCUGACAGGGUUACUCUGAGUGAUUUCCGCUAAGGGGAUCUUUUGGCACCUCUAAAAAUGGUGCAGAAUAAGGGGUGGGCAAGUCUGGUGUCAGCCGCCGCGGUAAUACCAGCACCCCGAGUGGUCGGGACGAUUAUUGGGCCUAAAGCAUCCGUAGCCGGUUCUGCAAGUCUUCCGUUAAAUCCAGCCGCUCAACGGAUGGGCCGCGGAGGAUACUACAGGACUAGGAGGCGGGAGAGGCAAGCGGUACUCAGUGGGUAGGGGUAAAAUCCUUUGAUCCAUUGAAGACCACCAGUGGCGAAGGCGGCUUGCCAGAACGCGCUCGACGGUGAGGGAUGAAAGCUGGGGGAGCAAACCGGAUUAGAUACCCGGGUAGUCCCAGCUGUAAACGAUGCAGACUCGGUGAUGGGCUAGCCUUGUGCCAGCCCAGUGCCGCAGGGAAGCCGUUAAGUCUGCCGCCUGGGGAGUACGGUCGCAAGACUGAAACUUAAAGAAAUGGCGGGGGAGCA